rnacentral:rRNA from 1 species
UAUAUAUUGAUAAUGACAGUAUAUAUAUCGUGUCUUGACUAAUUGCGUGCCAGCAGUCGCGGUAAUACGUAAGAGACUAGUGUUAUUCAUCUUAAUUAGGUUUAAAGGGUACCUAGACGGUCAAUAUAGCUUCUAAAAUGUUAGUACUUGACUAGAGUUUUAUGUAAGAGGGCAGUACUUGAGGAGGAGAGAUGAAAUUCUAUGAUACCAAAGGGACUCGGUAAAGGCGAAGGCAGCCYUCUAUGUAAAAACUGACGUUAAAGGACGAAGGCACAGAGCACAAACAGGAUUAGGUACCCAAGUAGUCUUUGCAGUAAAUGAUGAAUGCCAUAGGUUAGAUUAAGAUUUAGUAUUAUAAUUAUAAAUUAAAUAUUAAACAUUAUCUGGUCUAUAAAUGAAAGUGUAAG